rnacentral:rRNA from 1 species
GUAGGUGGCAAGCGUUGUCCGGAAUUAUUGGGCGUAAAGCGCGCGCAGGCGGUUCUUUAAGUCUGAUGUGAAAGCCCACGGAUCAACCGUGGAGGGUCAUUGGAAACUGGAGAACUUGAGUACAGAAGAGGAAAGCGGAAUUCCACGUGUAGCGGUGAAAUGCGUAGAGAUGUGGAGGAACACCAGUGGCGAAGGCGGCUUUCUGGUCUGUAACUGACGCUGAGGCGCGAAAGCGUGGGGAGCAAACAGGAUUAGAUACCCUGGUAGUCCACGCCGUAAACGAUGAGUGCUAAGUGUUAGGGGGUUUCCGCCCCCCUUAGUGCUGCAGCUAACGCAUUAAGCACUCCGCCUGGGAGUACGGCCGCAAGGCUG